UUGCGUACGCAGAGAAAAAAACGGAACAAUACCCGUUUGAUAUUGUCUCCUCAAUUUUCACAUAUCAAUUUUUUCAUAUCAAAAUGAUUCGAAUUCAUAUCAAUAUGAUACGAAAUCAUAUCAACUUCAAAUGUUAAUAUGAAUCCGUAUCAUAAUGAUAUGAAUACUUAGCAAGUUGAUAAGAUUUCAUAUCAAACGUAACAUCGAAAAGUCUUCGAAAAAAUAGUAUGACUGUAAAUUCGUCCUUUUUGUGUAUAUUCUGUGUACAACGGUAUAAUUACGCUUUGUAUGCGGUGGUCCCACUUUUAUUUACUGCGUCAAUUUUAGUGAAAAACGUGACAAGAGAAAAGUUUAAGGUGUUUAUAAAUGUAAUUACUUGGUAAGUAUGUAUAAUUUUAACUAAAUUACUUUGUUUGUGCAUUAGUUUGUCGAAGUACCAUGGAGGAUCCACUUUUGCUUCAAUUCCUUACGGACCACGAGGUCGAUUUGGUUGUGCUUGACCUGCUUUUAGAGUGUGGAUACAACAACGAAAGGCUGCAGUACAUUUGUGCUUCAGACCUUGACCAAAUAUUUUCCAAAAGAGAACAUCUUGGUCUGAAAUCCGAGUUCCGCGAGAAGCUCCAAAAAUUGGUAGAGAGCACAACACAUUGAUGUCUGCGCAGGGGAUACGACACCAACAUGUAAAGAAAAGGUGACAUUAUUAGUUCUAACUAAUGGUUUCUAGCUUAAAUAAUUUUAACUUUAAUCAGUGUUUAUAUAAUUUAUUUUUUGUGGUUCUAUACGUUAAUCUAGAGUGCUUUGUUGAUUCUUCAGUCCUGCGAAAUUGGAAGGCAAAUAAUUUUUGACUAUCAAGAAAAGGGAAAAUUAUCGGCAGAUAACCGAGAAGAAAUCCUCUCAAUCAUAAAAGAAAGUUAUUACAAUGUUAGCUCUCAGUGUUAUAGAAUACCGAGAUAUGGAGAGAUAAAAAAACUUUCAGAAGAAAUUGUAUCAAUAUUUCCAACAGAAAACAAAGAUAUUUAUUUUUUAAGUAGAAAAGAGAAUGGGAAAUCAAACCCCAGUGGAAUUCUAUUUAAUAAAGUUCAUAAUUUAAAUAGAAAAAGAAAACUGGCUACGGGAUAUAUUAGUUCCAGCAUUGAAGCAGUUGAGCCAGAAGUAUAUUCACAAGAAGUCCUUGAAAUUGUUAGUACUCUUAAGUUGUACAACGGAACUGAAGAAGAUUGUAUAACUUUAUGGGAAGCUACGACGAGUUAUCGCCAAAACUUCAUCAAGCAGGGGUCAAACGAUAUUGAAGCAAUAUUUAACGAGUUUCCAAUAUAUAAGCAGUCUCUCGGACAUAUCUUUGUAAGCAAAUUAGAUGGUUUGGACGUAUGUGAUGGUUUGUGAUGUCCUAGUAAAUGUUUGUAAUGUCCCUUGGAAAUGUUUGUGAUGUUCGUAGAAAUUUUGUCAUUUUCUAUUAAUUGUAUAUAUAAGACUCUAACAUUUAACUUGAAUGUUGCAGAUCAACAUAGAUUUAAAAUCGAUUCACCAAGACAAAGCUUUUAAACUUACAUGUUUAUGGGAACAAUCCAUUGUAAAGUUUAAGGCCUACUACGAGAUAGUAGUGAAAGACAAAUACUUUAUACAGCUUCUUCGGAGUUGCACCGAAUCGUUGAAUGACAGUAAGUAAACUAAAAGUUAAAAUAUUGCAUAAAAAGCUAGUAUUUCGUAU